rnacentral:miRNA from 1 species
CUGGAACUGUGGGGUUGGGAC